rnacentral:lncRNA from 1 species
UAAAUACCAGAAAAAUAAAUAAAAAAAUAAGAUAAAAUUUUGCAAACAAAUGAAACAAUUUUUUCACCAGGAGCAGUACAAAGAUAAGUUACUAGUACAUAACCCAGACAAUCAGAAUCAUGCAAGUCGUUUCAUCAGAAUUAACAAAAAAUUAAGAUUAAACAAACUACAAUUUCUUCAGCUAAUCAAUUAUCUUGCUACCACUUCAAACUUAUAAUUUAGAGAAUGCCAUCCUGCCAUAAUUUGAAAACCUCUUGCUACACAAAAUGAGCUUGCAAAUUGCCAGAGUUUCACAUGCUGGUGCCUGGUGCCUUGCAAAAAAAUAAAACAAUAAACAAGGAUGCAACAUAGAUAUAGGAAUUAUGACUAAAUUGUUUUGGCAGACUAGUUCAAUUUGUCAUCAGGUGAAUUUUAUGAAUCAGUCCCUAUAAUACAGAGACCUGGCCUACCAACUCUGUCAAGACUAAUUGCAAUAAAAAACUACAGCCAAAUCACAGAAUAGUACAUUGACAAAUUUAAGAACAAGAAAAUUGUAGUAGUAGGACAGUAGCACAUAUUAGAGAAAUUGAGCAUACACUUUUACUUACUGCUUAGAAGUCUGUCUCCCAUUCAUUCUCCCAUUCAGAAUCUAGCUCACAUGUCUUCGAAUCACCAUCCUCGGAAGCUUUUCCAGUUCCACCUAUAAAGAAUUGAAGAGUAAAAUUCAUAAGUCAUUUUACAUUAAAACACAUGUAUAAGCAGUCAAUAUAAAACGUACCAUCCUUCAAGUCCGGGAGCCAAUCUUUAACACACAUCAAGGUUUCGACCGAGUCAUCAUUUAGAGAGGAACGAGUGUCCGUGAUAAUUCUACGACACUUACUAAAAGAGUUCUCAGAUGCAACAGAAGAAGUUGGUAUAGCUAAGAUAUCUUGAGCCAUUCUUGCAAGUAUAGGAAAUUUAGGACCAUUAAGUUUCCACCAACGAAGAAUAUCAAAUUCUACUUCUUUAUCCAUUGGAAACAACCCUUCGUUUAAAUAUUCAUCCAACUCACUUUUUUUCGCAUUUUCCUUUAAAUUACUACUUGCAAUGAAGUCCUGGAAACCUCCCAACCAUUUUCCCCCAACUGAACUUGUAUUACCAAAACUUUUAUGACCAGAUUGUUCUACAGACCCUAUAUCAGCUCCAUAUUUCUCAGAAUACUCAUCAAAAACUUGGGCUAAAAAGUCACGUAUGUCAUCUAUAUAAAAGUCAGCAUGAAGCUCCUACAUACCCUUGUAAGCAUAAGAUACAGUCGCCAUUUUAUAUCUAGGAUCAAGAACAACGGCAAUAGUUAACAACUUGUUGCAUUCUUCCCAGUAUUUAUCAAAUUUAAGUUGCAUCUUAUCAGCCAUUGCUCUAAUCCAAUCAUCAUUGGAUUCAGCCCACAUUUUAAUGUUCCUACGAAUCUGAAUCACAUCAAUAAAAUACAGAUUUGCUGUAGGAUAUUUCACACCAGAAUGCCUUUUUGUUAUAUCUGAAAAAAAUUUCAAACAAUCACACACUUUCUUUCCAUUUUCCCACUCUAAUUCUGAAGGCAAACACUUAUAUUCAGGGUCUAAUUCUUUGAGACGAUUAAUAGCAGGCCGUAGUUCAAGCGCUGCUACAAUCAUUUCAUAAGUUGAAUUCCAACGAGUGUCUACAUCUGAAGGAAUUCGUCUCCUAGUAUUAAGCUUAGUUUGAGACAAGGCAAGAGUGAACUUCUCAUCCCUCUGGGCAGGAGAUCCAAUAUAUCUUGUUGUUUUUUGAAUUUUUUCAAUUAAAUUGUCUGGCAUCUCCAACCCACUCUUAACGAUCAAAUUAAGAAUAUGUGGUACACAACGCAUGUGAAACAUGUCACCAUUGUGAAUAAGAGCCUUUUUUCCAUUCAACCAACUUUUAAUACCUUGAAGCAUUCCCGCAUUAUUAGACGCGUUAUCAACAACAAUUGAAGCUAUCUUGUUAUCAAUGUUCCACUCUAAGAUUCUAUCUUUUCACUAUGCACUUAAAUUAACGCCAACAUGAGGGUAGGGGACAACACGAAAAGAUAUAACUCGUUUGUGCAAUAUCCAAUCUUUAUCAAUAUAGUGACACAAAAAUACGAUCUUGCUUGAUAUUUCGGCUUCCACCCAUCAGUGGUGAGACUAACCCUUGAUGUUAAAUUUUCAAUUUCUUUAUAAAUUAUCUCUUUCUCAGCCGCAUACACACCCAACAAGUCAGUUUUCACAGUAUUUCGGGACCGAUAUUUAUAAGCAGGCAUUACAUAAGAUAUCCAAUGACGAAAGUAAUCAUAUUAUGCCAUUAAAAAGGCAAAUCAUGUUUAGCAGUCAUUUUAGCAAACAAAGCUCUCUCAACAGCAGGAUCAAAUUUAUGAACUCUUAGCAGUGAGAUCAUCUUCUGAUGAGAAAAUUAUGCAAUCCAGAUCAGCGCUCUUAGAUAUAUUUUCUGCACACUUUGUUGAUAUCAUUUCAACUGUACUUGAUGAUGCACAUGGAGUCGAACUUGAAGCAUUAGCUGCAAUUUAAUAAAAGUGUGUAAGAUGAUAAAAUAAAAAGAUAAUAUAGAAUUCAAACACGAUAUACAAAAGAUGGAAUAUAACUAUACAAGUAUACCUUGUUCCAUUGACACUUGACAUAAACCCUAAUCAGUAAUCCUUUAAGAAUCAAAGUGUAGAUAUGCAAGUCAAAGCCUUAUAGAUCUGUAAAUUAAAGCCUCGUGUAAUUAUAUACCAUAUUCAUCUUAACUAGUCGAGUAAAGAAAUUAAAAUUAGGGUUGUGGAUCGAACCUUGUUUUAGAGAAAAGUAUCGAAGAUUCAGAGAAUCCGAGAAGAUUGCGAGAUGCGGCUUGAGAGAAAAAUGAAGAGGCGGCUGCUGGAGACCUUGGAAAUUAGGGAUUAGAUUUUAGGGUGACGCGUGAAGUCGUGAAC